rnacentral:rRNA from 1 species
AACUUUUAACAACGGAUCUCUUGGCUCUCGCAUCG